GAGAAUUACUUUUAUUUAUGGGUGAAUUACUCUUAAUCUAAACAUGAUAGCUUUUACUUUUAAAUUAUUUUUAUUCCAAAUACUUCUUUAUUACAACUUCUUUAUUGAACCUAGUCCACCACAUACUAUGCAAACUUAGGCAAAGCAGUCAUAUCUUUUGAAUAAGGAGAUUCACACCAUGCUCGGGCUCCAAAAGCAGACCAUAAGUAGGCGAGUGUUGGUAGUUUGGAGGGAUUGUAAGCUUGAAAUUGGAGAGUAUGACAGCAAACAAUACCUUCAAUUCUAUCAAGGCCAAAUUCUAUCCAGGACACACUCGAGAUCCCAAGCCAAAAGGUAUAUAGGC
rnacentral:misc_RNA from 1 species